CGCCAUGAAAGUCCCGGCUCCGCACUCAGCAUUAGGGCACUCUUUCCUCAGCCUCUGGACCUUCCCAGAAUCAUCAACCUUGUAGAACUGAAGCACCGCGAGCUUGACCUUCUUCUUCUUGUGCUUGAUCUUCUUUGGCUUGGUGUAGGUCUUCUUCUUACGCUUCUUGGCGCCACCACGGAGGCGAAGCACAAGGUGGAGGGUCGAUUCCUUCUGGAUGUUGUAAUCGGCUAGGGUUCGGCCGUCCUCGAGCUGCUUGCCGGCGAAGAUGAGGCGCUGCUGGUCUGGGGGAAUGCCCUCCUUGUCUUGG
rnacentral:lncRNA from 1 species